GACCAGCCAUUUCAGCAGGAAGAGAUGUGCUGAGCAAAGAAUGGAUUUUUAGAAGUCAGCCUGGGGAAGAAUGAAAGCACGGGGCUCAUUAGGAGUUCACCCGCAUUAUACCAACACUUUCCACCUUUGGCUUACUGAAGAGUAAGAAUGAACUGAAAGGAACAAGAACUAUGGCUUGUCCUAUCUUUUCCUUUCUAUGACAUCAUUUUCAGCAUAAAUGGUUGGCUAACACAGGGAAGUAAAGUGGGAUCUAAUCCAGGAUACCACAUUGCAUGUAGUCAGCGUGCCUUCUUCGUAUUCUCCAGACUGUGACUGUUUCUCAGUCUUUUCC